rnacentral:tRNA from 1 species
GCAUGUUGCUCCGUGGUAGAGCACUUGCCUAGCAUGUGUGAGGUCCUGGGUUGAAUCCCCAGUAACACACA